rnacentral:tRNA from 1 species
UGGGGAGUAGCUCAGCUGGCUGGUAGCACCGGGCUUUGAACUCGGCGGUCGUGGGUUCGAGUCCCACCUCCCCAU